UACGUAGGGGGCGAGCGUUGUCCGGAUUUAUUGGGCGUAAAGAGCUCGUAGGCGGUUUGGUAAGUCGGGUGUGAAAUCUCCACGCUCAACGUGGAGGGGCCACUCGAUACUGCCAUGACUCGAGUCCGGUAGAGGAGUGUGGAAUUCCCGGUGUAGCGGUGAAAUGCGCAGAUAUCGGGAGGAACACCCGUAGCGAAGGCGGCUCUCUGGGACGGUACUGACGCUGAGACGCGAAAGCGUGGGGAGCGAACAGG
rnacentral:rRNA from 1 species